rnacentral:misc_RNA from 1 species
AAGACUAUAGACCUGCGGAGUACCUGCGGAGGGAUCAUUACUGUAAGAAUAGGGAGUUCUGAGACUGCGUUCUAAAUAGACGUGUGCUCGACUCUUACUCUUUCAUUCCACACACCUUUUGUGCACUAUGGGGAUCGCAAGGUCCCCCUUUUUAUAUAAAAACCCAGUUAUAUGCAUGGCUUAUACUACUCUAAGGAGUAAAAAAAAGUUAAAUAACUUUCAACAACGGAUCUCUAGAUC